GAUGAAGACGUAGCAAAAUGCGAUAAGUAAUGUGAAUUGCAGAAUUCAGUGAAUCAUCGAAUCUUUGAACGCACAUUGCGCCCGCCAGUAUUCUGGCGGGCAUGCCUGUUCGAGCGUCAUUUCAACCCUCAAGCCCUCGGGUUUGGUGUUGGGGAUCGGCGAGCCUUUCUGGCAAGCCGGCCCCGAAAUCUAGUGGCGGUCUCGCUGCAGCCUCCAUUGCGUAGUAGUAAAACCCUCGCAACUGGAACGCGGCGCGGCCAAGCCGUUAAACCCCCAACUUCUGAAUGUUGACCUCGGAUCAGGUAGGAAUACCCGCUGAACUUAAGCAUAUCAAUAAGCGGAGGA
rnacentral:misc_RNA from 1 species